UACGAGCCUCACAAACGUUAUUCGGAAUCACUGGGCUUAAAGGGUGCGUAGGCGGUGUGGUAAGUCGGAUGUGAAAUACCUCAGCUUAACUGAGGAACUGCACUCGAUACUUCCAUGCUAGAGUAAGACAGAGGUGAGUGGAACUGAGGGUGGAGCGGUGAAAUGCGUUGAUAUCCUCAGGAACACCGGUGGCGAAGGCGACUCACUGGGUCUUUACUGACGCUGAUGCACGAAAGCUAGGGUAGCAAACGGG
rnacentral:rRNA from 1 species